CUAACGGCUGCUGCUCUUCUCACAGGGAGCCCAUAUCUCUGGAUUACUACAACUGUGCCAGGUUCUUCACACCACCCAACGAGAAAGAGGAGGAUUCCCAGUCCUAUCAAAAUGUCAUCAUUGGAGUGUCUCAUGGCUCUGAUAUGGCUCUGCAGAGAGAAAGCCCAGAUGAUGAGCCAGACUACAUCAAUGCGGCCCCUGCAUCAGGCCCUGCCUUUCUGUCAAAGCAAAGUAUUCUGCAUAAAGUCUGAAGAAGUCCUUUGCUGAGCUGUAAGAGCACACCCAGCAAGCAUGCGCACAGGGAGAGGGGAGGCUUCAAUCCCUCGGUGAAAUCUCUUCUCCAAAUUGUGCCCAAGAUCACAUAGAAGGGGUGCUGCUGAAAUGAAGAAACGCUCUGCUUGAAGUCCCGCGGAAGUCCAACAGCAAACCUGCGACUGGAGAAAGUACCCUGCCUGGCAGUGACCAUGGGCAAGCCAAGAGUUUGUUAUCCUGCCUCAUUUUCCUGCACAUCUACUCGAGGCAGCAUGGCCAGCCUGUGAAAUGUCUUCUGUCAAACAUGAAAUGAAUCUUAAAAUUGCUGAGCAGCAAUGCAGCCAGCUACUUAAUUUGUCAGGGUGACUCAUGCACAGUGGUAUUAAGACACAGGGAUUAUGUUCUGAUUUAGUUCCCAUGCUCUCCUACAGAAGCAGUUUCCUAUAAGAGAGAAACCGGCAAGGCAGAGGUUUCCUUUACAACAGCAGCGGUUCUCUGGAUCUAAAUGAGAUAUCAACCUGUUGACAAAAGCUGAAGACUAAAUCCCUGCCUUAUCCACAGCUUGUAACUCACAGUAUCUGCCUAUGGCAGUUUUCCUUGUUUCAGUAUUUGGUUUAUAAUAAUACAAAGACCCUGCAACAACUGAGAC
rnacentral:lncRNA from 1 species